UUUUUUCCCCCACCAUUACAAACUGUUUGUGAUAUAUAUAUAUAUAUAUAUAUAUAUAUAUAUAUAUAUAUAUAUAUAUAUAUAUAUAUUACAAACAGUUUAUAAUGGUGGGGAAAAAAG